UAACCGUCUCCGCAUUUUCGUCCUUUCGUGAAAAAAUUCGAAUCUCUCCGGGAGAGACCUGUCUCCGCCGGAUCGGGACCACGCCGGAUAUCGGUCGGUCAUGAAGGCGGAGAAGUGGUGGAAGGGGGCCAAAGGUCAAGCGGAGAACGAUCGUCAGACCUGUGUUUAGGUUCUAGGUGUCCUGAGACUGGUUCGCGUGGUGCUUUUCUGAUCAACAAGUAGUCAAGUAUAUGUUGUUACUUUGGAAAUCUCACCUACAUUUCCUCUUGAUGAGUCACCAGGAUUUCUUUCUACAGAGUUGCCCUGUGAGUUCUUGCCUACAUUUUUUUUCUUAUUCUUAUCUAUGCAAAUAUGGUACCUUCAUUCAUGUACAUUCGAAUUGCAAGAAGUGGGGGUGGUGGGGUUCUAAAAAAUGGUUGUUAGAUUGUUGUUUGGACAGUAAGGUUUCAAUCAAAGAUGAAAUAAAAAGAUUUGAUAAUAUUGUACACAAUCCACAUGAAAUUUUUUAAUGAAAGUAGUGAAAGGGGAAAUCA